rnacentral:tRNA from 1 species
GGGCCAUUAGUUCAGCGGUAGAACAACGGACUCUUAAUCCGUGUGUCGCUGGUUCGAUUCCAGCAUGGCCCA